rnacentral:lncRNA from 1 species
AGCAGUAGCAGCAGCAUCAGCAGCAGGAGCAGCGACAGCAAUCGAGGCGCUGAUGGAUGAAAACACCAAAAGCACCUAAAACGACGCGAUGACCGCUCUCUAGGAAGGAGUAAAGAGGUGUCAAAUAACCUCAAAUAACCUACAACGAAAGUUCGGUUGACGAUACGGUAAAUCACAAAAAGAUAAUCGCUCUCAGGUUUCUCUCUGAUUUCUACACAGAAAAAAAGGUAAUUCAACGAGAAACAUGACAUUUCCAUGUUAAAAGAAAACCGAUAAAAUAUUAAGAGUUUAUCUACUUAUGCUGAGAUUGCCGUGAUACAAAGAUGCUGACUAUUGCAAUAAAAUGUGACUUGCUGUUCAAAACAUUGGGUAAAACAUAAUCCAACAAGGAAUUUGAAGCAUUAUGUUUCAAGUUUGGUUUAGAGCUGGAUGAAGUAACAAUGGAAAAGCAAAUGAUAGCAAAAGAGUAGGGUUUUGAUCAAGAUACAGAUGCGUCCGAAGAAAUUAUCAACAAGAUUAAUAUACUUGCCAACAGAUAUGAUCUAUUAUGCUUGGAAACUCUAAAUAUUGGACUACUUAUAUUUUUGCAUAAGUAAAUAUUAUGUAAUUUAUAGUUUAGAUUUAAAAAAUCAUUUCUUAAAUUUAUUCAAAGAUAAUAUUUCUAACAAAAUUACG